rnacentral:rRNA from 1 species
CUACGGGAUGCAGCAGUGAGGAAUAUUGCACAAUGGGGGGAACCCUGAUGCAGCAACGCCGCGUGGAGGAUGACGCAUUUCGGUGUGUAAACUCCUUUUAUAUGUCAAGAAAAUGACGGUAGCAUAUGAAUAAGCACCGGCUAACUCCGUGCCAGCAGCCGCGGUAAUACGGAGGGUGCAAGCGUUACUCGGAAUCACUGGGCGUAAAGGACGCGUAGGCGGGUUGGAAAGUCAGGUGUGAAAUCCUACAGCUUAACUGUAGAACUGCACUUGAAACUGCUAAUCUAGAGUAUGGGAGGGGGAGAUGGAAUUCGUGGUGUAGGGGUAAAAUCCGUAGAUAUCACUAGGAAUACCUAAAGCGAAGGCGAUCUCCUGGAACAUUACUGACGCUAAGGCGUGAAAGCGUGGGGAGCAAACAGGAUUAGAUACCCGAGUAGUC